rnacentral:rRNA from 1 species
UAUUAUGGAGAGUUUGAUCCUGGCUCAGAGUGAACGCUGGCGGCGUGCCUAAUACAUGCAAGUCGAACGAUGAAGCUU